AAACCAGCACCUCAAGUGGUCAGGAGGAUUAUUGGGCCUAAAGCAUCCGUAGCCUGAUCUAUAAGUUUCCGGUUAAAUCCACAUGCUCAACAUUUGGGCUGCCGGAAAAACUGUAGAUCUAGGAAGUGGGAGAGGUAGAUGGUACUCGGUAGGAAGGGGUAAAAUCCUUUGAUCUAUUGAUGACCACCUGUGGCGAAGGCGGUCUACCAGAACACGUUCGACGGUGAGGGAUGAAAGCUGGGGGAGCAAACCGGAUUAGAAACCCCGGUAGUCC
rnacentral:rRNA from 1 species